CAGCUCACCCGGCUCGGUCCUCUCCACGUGGUCCCGACCGGCCUGCAGCGAGCGAGAGAAAGGGGCUGGUUUGGGGGUGUCCCAUCCAAGUGGGCAAGGGCCACCACGGUUCCCAGUUCAACA